rnacentral:rRNA from 1 species
GACGAACGCUGGCGGCGUGCUUAACACAUGCCAGUCGAACGGAAAGGCCCUGCUUUUGUGGGGUGCUCGAGUGGCGAACGGGUGAGUAACACGUGAGUAACCUGCCCUUGACUUUGGGAUAACUUCAGGAAACUGGGGCUAAUACCGGAUAGGAGCUCCUGCUGCAUGGUGGGGGUUGGAAAGUUUCGGCGGUUGGGGAUGGACUCGCGGCUUAUCAGCUUGUUGGUGGGGUAGUGGCUUACCAAGGCUUUGACGGGUAGCCGGCCUGAGAGGGUGACCGGCCACCUUGGGCCUGAGAUACGGCCCAGUCUCCUAUGGGAGGCAGCAGUGGGGAAUAUUGCCCAAUGGGCGGAAGCCUGAUGCAGCAACGCCGCGUGCGGGAUGACGGCCUUCGGGUUGUAAACCGCUUUCGCCUGUGACGAAGCGUGAGUGACGGUAAUGGGUAAAGAAGCACCGGCUAACUACGUG